rnacentral:rRNA from 1 species
UACAGAGGUCUCAAGCGUUGUUCGGAUUCAUUGGGCGUAAAGGGUGCGUAGGUGGCGCUGUAAGUCGGGUGUGAAAUUUCGGAGCUUAACUCCGAAACUGCAUUCGAUACUGCGGUGCUUGAGGACUGGAGAGGAGACUGGAAUUCAUGGUGUAGCAGUGAAAUGCGUAGAGAUCAUGAGGAAGACCGGUGGCGAAGGCGGAUCUCUGGACAGUUCCUGACACUGAGGCACGAAGGCCAGGGGAGCAAACGGG